CGUAGGCGGGUUACCAAGUCAGGGGUGAAAUCUUUCGGCUCAACCGGAAAACAGCCUUUGAUACUGGUAGUCUGGAGGGAGGUAGGGGCAUGUGGAACUUCCGGUGGAGCGGUGAAAUGUGUUGAUAUCGGAAGGAACGCCGGUGGCGAAAGCGACGUGCUGGACCUCUUCUGACGCUGAGGCGCGAAAGCUAGGGUAGCGAACG
rnacentral:rRNA from 1 species